GCCGAAAUAGCUUAGUUGGGAGAGCGUUAGACUGAAAAUCUAAAGGUCCCUGGUUCGAUCCCGGGUUUCGGCA
rnacentral:tRNA from 1 species